CCCCCCCCCCCACCAAGCUGCCCACCAGAGGCCAAGCUGUACUUGGUGUUUGCCAACAUGCUGUAAUUUCCAGCCUGGUUGCUGUAGCCACAGAGGAAUUUUCAAGGACAAGAACCAGUGCUGGUAAAACUGUGGUCUCUGUGGUUUUCCAUACCGGCUCUCGGCAAGGAUUUUCAAGAAAGGAAUACCAUCUCCAAAUCAUGAUGUGCCAAUAAGCUCCAGUUAGCUGCGGCCUUUUCCCCAGGCGGUAGUCCUGCAAUCUGAAUCCAGGAGAUGCAGCUCUGAAUCCAAUAUUUCAGAAGAAUGAAGAUGAAGCAGACCCAGGAGGAACUGUCUGUUGAAGACCCCCCCCCCCCCCCCCCCACCAAGCUGCCCACCAGAGGCCAAGCUGUACUUGGUGUUUGCCAACAUGCUGUAAUUUCCAGCCUGGUUGCUGUAGCCACAGAGGAAUUUUCAAGGACAAGAACCAGUGCUGGUAAAACUGUGGUCUCUGUGUGUUUUCCAUACCGGCUCUCGGCAAGGAUUUUCAAGAAAGGAAUACCAUCUCCAAAUCAUGAUGUGCCAAUAAGCUCCAGUUAGCUGCGGCCUUUUCCCCAGGCGGUAGUCCUGCAAUCUGAAUCCAGGAGAUGCAGCUCUGAAUCCAAUAUUUCAGAAGA